AACUCCCCCAUUAAGUAAACUAUAAAGAGUAGAGUAACUAAGGAAAUUAAUUAAAUAAAAAUUAUCAUCAUUUCUUGUGUUAUUGAAUCAUCAUGUGUAGCCACUAAUUCCUAAAUUAAAUUAAGAGUCAAAAUCAAAGCUUACCGUUAUUUUCCCAGCCAAAGGUUGUUGCGUUGUUUUCCUGCGACUGCUUCCAUCUUUUAUCAGUCUUUCCUUCCCUCUCUUUGGCUUCCAUUGUUUUCUUUAUUCUUCUUCUUUGCUCUCUCCAUUUCGUUACAUUUUUGUAUACACAGCCAUGAAGCAAGGCUCAAAGCCCCAAUCAGAGAGAAGUUGGGCUGAAAUCUGCUGUUUUGGUUGCUCCUGCCUACAGCUUUUUUGGCCUCGAGUUGUCAUGAGGAAAUUGCUCAACAUCACUCCCAGAGACUCCGAUUACAGCGCUGAUACCGAUGAUGAAGACGAUACUGGUUCUGAUUCUGAAACUGAAGAAUUUUUUGAAUGUGGCAGUGGCAGAGGAUCAAGGUUUAGAGGGAACAGAGAGGAGGAGCUUCAGCCUGAUCUAAAUGAUGCUCUUCCGAGGUUAAGGAGACGUAAGUCGGAGACUUGUAGGGCGCAAUAUAUAAACACAAAGGAAAUAAGAAUAUGUGCUGGUACUUGGAAUGUUGGUGGAAAGGUUCCGCCUGAUGAACUAGAUAUUGAUGACUGGAUAGAUAUCAAUGAGCCUGCUGACAUCUAUGUGCUUGGUCUUCAGGAGAUAGUACCAUUAAAUGCUGGGAAUAUUUUUGGUGCCGAAGAUAAUCGCCCAGUUCCAAAGUGGGAAAACAUCAUUCGUGAGACACUCAAUAGAAUUGGACCUGCAAUUACCAAAGUAAAAUGCUAUAGUGAUCCCCCAUCUCCAUCAAAGUUUAAGCCAUUUGAUGAUGUCCCAAAUUUAGAAGAGGAGAUCAUUCUUGAAAGUGAUAGUGAUAUUGGUGAUGAAAUUUAUCCAUUAGAUGAAGAACCUAAUGGUUUUGAUGAAGUCAAUAAUUCAGCAGGAAAUAAAAGAGUGUUCACCAAUUCUGAAGUUUCAGACUGUAAUGAUGGUGCUAAACUUGAUGUCCCAAUAGAACAGGAUUUACAGAUUCAAUUUUUUUCUCCAAAGAGGUUAGAUAGAUUGAAUUGCUUGCGGACAGAGGAUUGUGCUGAAAAUAUAGAAGCCUCGGUCAGUCAAAAAAAUGGAAAACUUACCAGAAUGCUUAGUGGGAUUGAACAAAAUGGAAAAUUAACCAGAAUGCUUAGUGGGACUGAAAGGAUUGGUUUGAGCUGGCCAGAGCCUCCAUUAAACUUGCUAUCUCAGCAUGUUUUGGGCAGACCAAGUUCUUUCAAAUCGACCAAAUCCUUUAGAGCGACCAAGUCUUUUCAAACAUAUAGUUCCUUCAAGUCCAUAAAUGACAUGGCAUCAGGGAUAGCUUUGCUUGCAGAACUUGACCUUGAAUCCCACAUGAAGCGAAAAAGAAGAUCGUCGUAUGUAAGAAUAGUAAGUAAGCAGAUGGUAGGAACUUUCCUUACUGUAUGGGUUCGUAGGAGUUUGCGCAGGCAUAUUCAUAAUUUGAAGGUGUCUACUGUUGGUGUUGGUGUAAUGGGCUACAUCGGUAACAAGGGAUCUAUAUCAGUCAGCAUGUCCAUAUAUCAAACACUUUUUUGUUUUAUAUGCACUCACCUGACAUCAGGUGAAAAAGAUGGAGAUGAACUUAAAAGAAAUGCUGAUGUGCAUGAAAUACUUAGACGAACUCAUUUUCAUUCUCUUUCUGCAAUUGGACUUCCCAAAUGCAUUCAUGAUCAUGAAAGAAUAAUUUGGUUGGGAGAUCUAAAUUACCGUAUCAACCUGUCCUAUAAUAAAGCACAUGAUCUCAUCUCCAAGAAAGAUUGGUCAAAGUUAAUUGAGAGAGACCAGCUUGUACGAGAGCUGCGUAAAGGUCAUACAUUUGAUGGAUGGUCCGAAGGUGCUUUAAAUUUUGCACCAACAUACAAAUAUGAGUUAAAUUCAGAGAAAUACUAUGGAGAAGAUCCCAAGGUUGGGAGGCGAACUCCAGCUUGGUGUGACCGCAUCCUUUCAUAUGGUAAAGGAAUGAGGCAACUAAGUUAUAGGAGGACUGAGCUUAAACUUUCUGACCAUCGCCCUGUUACUGCCAUAUAUAUGGCUGAGGUUGAGGUAUUUUGUCCACGGAAACUACAGCGUGCUCUCACCUAUACUGAUGCUGAAAUUGAAAACGAGGAAGUUGCUGCUGAGGCUAUUGAAUACUGAUGUCGAAACAAGUCCCCUGAUUUGGUUCAGGUGGGUGGUUUGCUAUGUUUUUCGUCCAGGAAUAUCAGUAGGAUCUUCUACAAGGUAUUAAUGGUCAUGAUGCUUAGGGAAAUAAAGUAAUGCUGGCUACAGAGAGUUAUUUGUUUAAUGAGGAUGUAGAGUAAGAGGGGGAAUAGUUGAAGUUGGCAAGAUCAUGAGAAUAGGGUAAGGAAACAAGAUUAAACAAGGUUACAAAGAAGCAGUCUACAUUGACUUCGUGAGAAUGGAUUGAUAUAUAUAGGUUGAAUAGUGGUUAAUAUUUCCAUUGAGAAUUUGAACCUUAUCAGGUUAUAGGGACAGAUUUUGCUGACAUAAUGUGAUACACUUUGGUUGCAAAACAUCUUGUGCUGUGCCUUGUAUCAAGGAUGAUACGUGGAAGGAUAGGGGGAGAUCAUCAAGGGAUAAUAUUCUAUGCCCGAUCCUUUGAGGCUGGGGUGAGAGAUACUACAACUCUUGGUAUUACCUAUACCUUAGAUUCAUUCAUUUUAUUUUUUUACUCUGUUACAAUAUUUUGUAUGUUGCAAUCAUUGUAUAAAUGCAUCAGCAGCGCUAGGGGGUUCACAAAUAGUUAUAGAACAACGCAGAUAAAAAUCACAGUUGAGUUUGCAUGUAUGGGUACAUCUUUGGCAUAAAGUUUAUCAAAUAUGCCCUUGUGCCAGCAGCCUUUUCUAGCUCAUAGAAAGCUGAAGGUUUGAAGAUAUAGUCAAUGCAUGUUUUUUGAUGGCGGAGUUGCUAUUUUUUGGUGUAUGCCUUUUGUCUUUCCAAAACUACAUUCUUCUGUAAUAUUUGCAGAAGCUAUGUACUGCUAUUUCUCUCUCUCUUUCUCUUUCUCUUUCUCUGCUUUUGAGUAUGUGUUUGUGUGUAUGUGAUUGCUGAUCACUUGAAUCCUGAGUUCUUUCACAUAAAGAGGGCCAAUUACAGAUAACAUGUAGACAUUUACCAUUCCCUAUAACUGGAUUUGGCUCAACUUCCUAUGUUUAGUGGUCUUCUAUAGCUCGAACGUAGAGCAAAAAUCUGCAAGUGAUGUUAAAGAAAAUAAGUAGGUUUCCAUUAAACCAAAACCAUAUGUAUGAACUCCAGGCAUAGUUCAACGAGAUAUAUGGUGUUCUUGGUUACUAGCCAUUAAAUGUUUCUUCAUUCUGUCUUCUCUAUCAUGCGAUGGCUACCAUUUUACUAAGCUUUAUAAGGUAAGAUCUAACAAUAAAAGUUAAGGAUUGAACAACUGCAGGUGGAGGUGAG